rnacentral:tRNA from 1 species
AAGAGUAGCAAAGAUGGUCAAUGCGCUGGACUGAAAAUCCAGAGAUAUAGGUUCGAGUCCUAUCUGUUCC